CAGGUCUAUUAUACAUUUCUAUUUUCCAGGAUUCAGACUACAGAAGCCAUAGUUACAUGGAGCGUGUUCUGAAGCUUGAAUUCAGGAGUAAAUGAGGAUAAGCAAAUGACACAGUACAUUUAAAUGGCCUCUCUGUAAAUGUAGCACAUGAUUCUGCAAUGGCUAAGCUCCAUGUAAAGCACCUCUUCUUGGACUUGACUUUCCAGUGUGCCUUCUUCCUGUAAGUGACACAGGAGCAGCAAGGACUGCAGGAGCACACAACCUGCCCCACAAGAUCUGUUUCAUGCAGCCUUGGGUUUCCAGAGGAUUCAUUUCUAAUCUCAUCUAUUUUCUGAUAUGUCACACAGGAUGCUUAUAUUUAAAAAGCAGGACAAGACAGUCUGGAGAACUUUUCAGCUCCUGCUGUUAACACACUAAC